UACGUAAGGUGCGAGCGUUAAUCGGAAUUACUGGGCGUAAAGCGUGCGCAGGCGGUUCUGAAAGUCAGCUGUGAAAGCCCCGGGCUUAACCUGGGAAUUGCGGUUGAAACUACAGGGCUAGAAUCUGGCAGAGGGGGGUGGAAUUCCACGUGUAGCAGUGAAAUGCGUAGAGAUGCGGAGGAACACCGAUGGCGAAGGCAGCCCCCUGGGCCAAUACUGACGCUCAGGCACGAAAGCGUGGGGAGCAAACAGG
rnacentral:rRNA from 1 species